GAUGAACGCUGGCGGCGUGCCUAAUACAUGCAAGUCGAGCGAACGGACGAGAAGCUUGCUUCUCUGAUGUUAGCGGCGGACGGGUGAGUAACACGUGGAUAACCUACCUAUAAGACUGGGAUAACUUCGGGAAACCGUAUCUAAUACCGGAGAAGAUUUUGAACCGCAUGGUGCAAUAGUGAAAGACGGUCGUGCGGUCACGUAUAGAUGGAUCCCCGCUGCAUUAGCUAGUUGGUAAGGUAACGGCUUACCACGGCAACGAUGCAUAGCCGACCUGUGAGGCUGAUCGGCCACCCUGGAACUUAGCCACCGUCCAGACUCCUACGGGACGCCCCAGUCUGGAACCUUCCGCAAUGGGCGGAAGCCUGGCGCAGCAACGCCGCGUGAGUUAUGACGGUCUUCCGAUCGUAAAGCUCUGUUAUUAGGGAAGAACAUAUGUGUAAGUAACUGUGCACAUCUUGACGGUACCUAAUCAGAAAGCCACGGCUAACUACGUG
rnacentral:rRNA from 1 species